rnacentral:rRNA from 1 species
CCUACGGGAGGCAGCAGUGAGGAAUAUUGGUCAAUGGGCGCGAGCCUGAACCAGCCAAGUCGCGUGAGGGAGGACGGCUCUACGGGUUGUAAACCUCUUUUGCCGGGGAGCAACGGGCGUCACGUGUGGCGCCACUGAGAGUAACCGGAGAAAAAGCAUCGGCUAACUCCGUGCCAGCAGCCGCGGUAAUACGGAGGAUGCGAGCGUUAUCCGGAUUUAUUGGGUUUAAAGGGUGCGUAGGCGGAUCGUUAAGUCAGUGGUCAAAUUGAGGGGCUCAACCCCUUCCCGCCAUUGAAACGGGCGUUCUUGAGUGGAAGAGAGGUAUGCGGAAUGCGUGGUGUAGCGGUGAAAUGCAUAGAUAUCACGCAGAACCCCGAUUGCGAAGGCAGCAUGCCGGCUUCCGACUGACGCUGAAGCACGAAAGCGUGGGGAUCGAACAGGAUUAGAUACCCUUGUAGUC